AUGCUCACUUUGGCAGCACAUAUACUAAAAUUGGAACCAUACGGAGAUAACAUGGCCCCCACUGCAAUUUCAUGAAGUAUUGCACAUUUUU
ensembl:snRNA U6 U6 spliceosomal RNA